GACGAACGCUGGCGGCGUGCUUAACACAUGCAAGUCGAGCGGAAAGGCCCUUCGGGGUCCUCGAGCGGCGAACGGGUGAGUAACAAGUGAGUAAGCUGCUCUCGACUUUGGGAUAAUAACCGGAAACGGGGGCUAAUAAUAGAUACUACUUCUAAAUCGAGUGAGUUGGUGGGGUAAGGUUUUCGGUCUGGGAUGGACUCGUGGCCUAUCAGCUGGUUGGUGGGGUAAUGGGGUACACAGGCGCGGACGGGUAGCCGGCCUGAGAGGGCGACCGGACACACUGGGACUGAGACACGGCCCAGACUCCUACGUUAGGCAGCAGUGGGGAAUAUUGCACAAUGGGCGGAAGCCUGAGGCAGCGAUGCCGGGUGUGUGAUGACGUCCUUCGUGGUGUAAACCGCUUUCAGCAGGGACGAAGCUGAAGUGACGUUACCUGCAGAAGAAGCGCCGGCCAACUACGUG
rnacentral:rRNA from 1 species